rnacentral:snRNA from 1 species
CCUGCGGAGUUCUGAUGGGAUCCGGU